AGUGAACGCUGGCGGUAGGCCUAACACAUGCAAGUCGAACGGCCACACAGUAAGAGCUUGCUCUUACGGGUGGCGAGUGGCGGACGGGUGAGAAAUACAUCAGAAUCUACUUUUUCGUGGGGGAUAACGUAGGGAAACUUACGCUAAUACCGCAUAUGACCUACGGGUGAAAGCAGUAGAUCUUCGCACCUUUCGCGAUUGAUUGAGACGGUGUCGGAUUAGCUAGUUGGUGAGGUAACGGCUCACCAAGGCAACGAUGCGUAGCCGACCUGAGAGGAUGAUCGGCCACACUGGAACUGAGACACGGUCCAGACUCCUACGGGAGGCAGCAGUAGGGAAUCUUCCGCAAUGGGCGAAAGCCUGACGGAGCAACGCCGCGUGAGUGAUGAAGGUCUUCGGAUCGUAAAACUCUGUUAUUAGGGAAGAACAAAUGUGUAAGUAACUAUGCACGUCUUGACGGUACCUAAUCAGAAAGCCACGGCUAACUACGUG
rnacentral:rRNA from 1 species